UACAGAGGAUGCAAGCGUUGUCCGGAAUUAUUGGGCGUAAAGAGCUCGUAGGCGGUUUGUCGCGUCUGCUGUGAAAACUCGGGGCUUAACCCCGGGCCUGCAGUGGGUACGGGCAGACUAGAGUGCGGUAGGGGAGACUGGAAUUCCUGGUGUAGCGGUGAAAUGCGCAGAUAUCAGGAGGAACACCGGUGGCGAAGGCGGGUCUCUGGGCCGUAACUGACGCUGAGGAGCGAAAGCGUGGGGAGCGAACAGG
rnacentral:rRNA from 1 species